GAGUAGGCGUGUGUGUGUGAGAGAGAGAGCGCAGGUGUGUGUGUGAGAGAGAGCGAGAGCAGGCGUGUGUGUGUGUGAGAUACAGGGAGCAGGUGCGUGUGUGUAUGUGUGUGAGAGAGAGAGAGCAGGCAUGUGUGUGUGAGAGAGAGAGAGAGAGAGCAGGCGUGUGUGUGUGUGAGAGAGUGAGCAGGCGUGUGUGUGAGAGAGAGAGAGCAGGCGUGUGUGUGCAUGUGUGUGAGAGAGAGAGAGCAGGCGUGUGUGUCUGUGUGUGUGUGAGAGAGAGAGAGCGCAGGUGUGUGUGUGUGUGGUGAGCUACGUGUGCCUGUCUGGACAUGCCCUUGCUGACUGCUCCUGUGGCUCCUCCCACAGAUCCUUGUAUAAAGGUGAUCUGAAGCCUAUGCUCUCUCUCAGUCUCCAGGACGUAGUAUGAUGGCCACUCACUCCUGGUUCGUUCUUCCAGUCAAUAAAAGCCGAUAUCUCGCCUUACAUCUCAGUGUGAGUUAUUGAUGGUGCAUCACUGUGUGUGCGCGUGAGAGAGAGAGAGAGAGAGAGCAGGCAUGUGUGUGUGUGAGAGAGAGACAGCGAGCAGGUGUGUGUGAGAUUGAGAGAGAGAGAGCAGGCGUGUGUGUAUGUGUGUGUGUGUGAGAGCGAGAGCAGGUGUGUGUGUUUGUGUGUGUGUGAGAGAGAGAGCAGGCGUGUGUGUGUGUGUGAGAGAGAGAGCAGGUAUUUGUGUGUGUGUGAGAGAGAGAGAGCAGGUGCGUGUGUGUAUGUGUGUGAGAGAGAGCAGGCGUGUGUGCGUGUGAGAGAGAGAGAGCAGGCGUGUGUGUGUGUGAGAGAGCAGGCGUGUGUGUAUGUGUGUGUGUGAGAGAGAGAGAGAGCAGGUGUGUGUGUGUGAGAGCGAGAGUGAGCAGGCGUGUGUGUGUGAGAUUGAGAGAGAGAGAGCAGGCGUGUGUGUGUGAGAGAGAGAGCAGGUGUGUGUGUUUGUGUGUGUGUGAGAGAGAGCGCAGGUGUGUGUGUGUGUGUGUGGUGAACUACGUGUGCCUGUCUGGACAUGCCCUUGCUGACUGCUCCUGUGGCUCCUCCCACAGAUCCCUGUAUAAAGGUGAUCUGAAGCCUAUGCUCUCUCUCAGUCUCCAGGACGUAGUAUGAUGGCCACUCACUCAUGGUUCGUUCUUCCAGUCAAUAAAAGCCGAUAUCUCGCCUUACGUCUCAGUAUCCUUGUAUAAAGGUGAUCUGAAGCCUAUGCUCUCUCUCAGUCUCCAGGACGUAGUAUGAUGGCCACUCACUCCUGGUUCGUUCUUCCAGUCAAUAAAAGCCGAUAUCUCGCCUUACAUCUCAGUGUGAGUUAUUGAUGGUGCAUCACUGUGUGUGCGCGUGAGAGAGAGAGAGAGAGAGAGCAGGCAUGUGUGUGUGUGAGAGAGAGACAGCGAGCAGGUGUGUGUGAGAUUGAGAGAGAGAGAGCAGGCGUGUGUGUAUGUGUGUGUGUGUGAGAGCGAGAGCAGGUGUGUGUGUUUGUGUGUGUGUGAGAGAGAGAGCAGGCGUGUGUGUGUGUGUGAGAGAGAGAGCAGGUAUUUGUGUGUGUGUGAGAGAGAGAGAGCAGGUGCGUGUGUGUAUGUGUGUGAGAGAGAGCAGGCGUGUGUGCGUGUGAGAGAGAGAGAGCAGGCGUGUGUGUGUGUGAGAGAGCAGGCGUGUGUGUAUGUGUGUGUGUGAGAGAGAGAGAGAGCAGGUGUGUGUGUGUGAGAGCGAGAGUGAGCAGGCGUGUGUGUGUGAGAUUGAGAGAGAGAGAGCAGGCGUGUGUGUGUGAGAGAGAGAGCAGGUGUGUGUGUUUGUGUGUGUGUGAGAGAGAGCGCAGGUGUGUGUGUGUGUGUGUGGUGAACUACGUGUGCCUGUCUGGACAUGCCCUUGCUGACUGCUCCUGUGGCUCCUCCCACAGAUCCCUGUAUAAAGGUGAUCUGAAGCCUAUGCUCUCUCUCAGUCUCCAGGACGUAGUAUGAUGGCCACUCACUCAUGGUUCGUUCUUCCAGUCAAUAAAAGCCGAUAUCUCGCCUUACGUCUCAGUGUGAGUUAUUGAUGGUGCAUCACUGUGUGUGCGCGUGAGAGAGAAAGAGAGCAGGUGUGUGUGUGUGUGAGAGAGAGAGCAGGUGUGUGUGUGUGUGUGAGAGAGAGAGCAGGCGUGUGUGUGUGUGAGAGAGAGAGUGCAGGCGUGUGUGUGUGAGAGAGAGAGAGCAGGUGUGUGAUUGUGAGAGAGAGAGAGAGAGAGCAGGCGUGUGUGUUUGUGUGUGUGUGAGAGAAAGAGAGCAGGCGUGUGUGUGUGUGAGAGAGAGAGAGCAGGCGUGUGUGUGUGUGUGAGUGAGAGAGCAGGCGUGUGUGAGAGAGAGAGAGUAGGCGUGUGUGUGUGAGAG